rnacentral:rRNA from 1 species
GACGAACGCUGGCGGCGUGCUUAACACAUGCAAGUCGAACGAUGAAGCCGGAGCUUGCUCUGGUGAAUUAGUGGCGAACGGGUGAGUAACACGUGAGUAACCUGCCCUUGACUCUGGGAUAACUGCUAGAAAUGGUAGCUAAUACCGGAUACGACCCUCGGAGGCAUCUCAAGGGGGUGGAAAGAAUUUCGGUCAAGGAUGGACUCGCGGCCUAUCAGCUAGUUGGUGAGGUAACGGCUCACCAAGGCGACGACGGGUAGCCGGCCUGAGAGGGGGACCGGCCACACUGGGACUGAGACACGGCCCAGACGCCUACGGGAGGCAGCCGUGGGGAAUAUUGCACAAUGGGCGCAAGCCUGAUGCAGCAGCGCCGCGUGAGGGAUGACGGCCUUCGGGUUGUAAACCUCUUUUAGUAGGGAAGAAGCGAAAGUGACGGUACCUGCAGAAAAAGCACCGGCUAACUACGUGCCAGCAGCCGCCGUAA